UUUAAACCCGCCCGACCCACUUUUCUAACCCGCCCCGAUCCCAUUUCUUUAUACACCAGCGUUACUUAAUUUCCAAUCGUAACUCUUCCCCUUCAUCUUCUCUUUCCCUUAACACACUGCAAUUCACAUGUUUUCUCAACCACCUCCAACUAUUCACAUUUAAACCUCUCCUGUGUUCUUAGUUUGAACCCAUUUCUUGAAAAUACUGGGAGGGACCUUCGAAUCUUUGUUUUUUGUUUAAGUAAUUGGCAUUCUAGUAUAGAGUCAAGAUUCACCAGUUAUUUUGUACUAUGUGGGAUCUGGGUUUCUUUCUUUUCUUGACUAAAGAUAAUGCAGGUUGAGAGCAGUUCAUGAGUUCAUAAUUAGCUUCUUGAAUUUUUCUAUCUGAGGCUUCGUUUCAUCAUUUUCAUUUUGGGUUUGCUCUUUUAGAGGCCUGAAGGUGAAACAAUCAAUUUUGAGGCAACAACUCAGGUGCUUCAUAUGUACUAACAUUUGUAGAUUUGUUUUUCAAAUGUUCAGAUCCAUUGCCUUCUUAAUAUUUGCUUUCUUUAAUUUAUUAAAAGUACUUGCUUUAGGACAAUGUCUUUAAUUUGAAUAUUUCAAGAGGAGAUUAAUUUGUUCAAAAUUUGGUACGUUUGAUAUUUGUCAAUUACUUAUAGACGGCAACUAAUUCUUUGCUUUCAGUGACUUCAAGCUAAGAAAGACUUGUGUACAGAGAUAUACUACUAGUUUAUGUGAGUUGUACAUUCGGCAAAUUCUACUAGUAUAAACUUGUUUAAGUUGCUGACUUGUUCUUGUGGAUUUUUUUUUUUUGUUUAGUAAUAAAAUAUGCCUCAAGACAGUCUGAGAUCAGCUGUAUACCUUUGUGACAUGUGAUGACCCGAAAGGUGUUGUGGAAUGUAAGACAAUUAGAAAAUCCAAGUUGACCAUCCAAAGAUGGAAGGAAAACAAAGAACAUGCAGCCAUUUGAAUGUGUCUUCAUCGUCAUCGGUCUGCAAAGGAAUGGCGGAAGAUGAGUUAUAUUCCUCAUCUUCCAUCCAGCUAAUGGAGGUGUCCAGAGAAGCUCAAAAGCUGAACCAAGUGAUUGACUCAUGGUCUAAGGGUAUGACCUUUGAAAUGGGGUCGGGGCGGGUUAGAAAAGUGGGUCGGGCAGGUUUAAAAAAUAGAAUGGGUGGGCUAAUCUGGUCCAAUCUAAGACUGUCACGUGUUAAAAAAUAAUGUGCAAACAAGUUUUAACGGUGGAAGGGUAUAUGUGGCCCUAAUGUUUAACGGUGGGGAUAUAUUUGUUAAAGAAUUCAAACGGAGGAUAAAUAUGGCCUAUUUUGAAUAGUACAAGAAUAUAUUUGACCCUUAACCGUUUAUAAAAUAGGAAAAUUUUAUUGUGUCUCAUACAAUUGACACUAGUUAUAUUAAGCAACUUUUUUAUCUCGCAGUUUUGUGGACCCAGAUUUUUGUGAACCCAGAAGUGUAAGAUUGGAGUCCACAAAUUUGUGGGACAAAAAUGAGUCUCAUACAACUAGUGCAGUUGCUAGAUAUAUGAGACACAAAAUAAAACUUCUCGAGAAAAUAGCACGGACUAGUCAGUUUUCGGAUUGAUAAAUGAAAGAUAGUCAGCCUUUGCAAAGUCAAUGAAAAAUAGUCAUUAUUUUACCGUAAUACGAAAAGUUCCGGCAUAAUAUACUAUAGAUUGGUGCACUUGUGUAUGAACUUCCAGCAUGAUUGAAAAUUUACACGUAAAAAAUUCAAACUCCAAAAUAUUAUGCUGAAAUAUUUUCUGGAUUUUGAACAAUAUUUUCGUUCAAAUUUAUAUUUACGUGACAAAUG
rnacentral:lncRNA from 1 species